AGUGGCGAACGGGUGAGUAAAGUAUCGGAACGUGCCCAGUCGUGGGGGAUAACGUAGCGAAAGUUACGCUAAUACCGCAUACGAUCUAUGGAUGAAAGCGGGGGAUCGCAAGACCUCGCGCGAUUGGAGCGGCCGAUAUCAGAUUAGGUAGUUGGUGGGGUAAAGGCUCACCAAGCCGACGAUCUGUAGCUGGUCUGAGAGGACGACCAGCCACACUGGGACUGAGACACGGCCCAGACUCCUACGGGAGGCAGCAGUGGGGAAUUUUGGACAAUGGGCGCAAGCCUGAUCCAGCCAUGCCGCGUGCAGGAUGAAGGCCUUCGGGUUGUAAACUGCUUUUGUACGGAACGAAAAGGUUUGGCCUAAUAAGCUGAGCUCAUGACGGUACCGUAAGAAUAAGCACCGGCUAACUACGUGCCAGCAGCCGCGGUAAUACGUAGGGUGCGAGCGUUAAUCGGAAUUACUGGGCGUAAAGCGUGCGCAGGCGGUUAUGUAAGACAGAUGUGAAAUCCCCGGGCUCAACCUGGGAACUGCAUUAGUGACUGCAUAGCUGGAGUACGGCAGAGGGGGAUGGAAUUCCGCGUGUAGCAGUGAAAUGCGUAGAUAUGCGGAGGAACACCGAUGGCGAAAGGCAAUCCCUCUGGGCCUGUACUGACGCUCAUGCACGAAAGCGUGG
rnacentral:rRNA from 1 species